GCCCGGAUGGCGAAAUAGGUAGACGCAAGGGACUUAAAAUCCCUCGGAAGCAAUUCCAUGCCGGUUCGACUCCGGCUCCGGGCACCA
rnacentral:tRNA from 1 species